rnacentral:tRNA from 1 species
UAAAAGCUUUAAAGCAUUUCAUUUACACUGAAAAGAUAGAAUAUAAGUCUAUUUAA